UGGUUCUGGCAUNGAUGAAGAACGCAGCGAAAUGCGAUAAGUAAUGUGAAUUGCAGAAUUCAGUGAAUCAUCGAGUCUUUGAACGCACAUUGCGCCCUCUGGUAUUCCGGAGGGCAUGCCUGUCCGAGCGUCAUUGCUGCCCUCAAGCCCGGCUUGUGUGUUGGGCCCCGUCCCCCCCGCCGGGGGGACGGGCCCGAAAGGCAGCGGCGGCACCGCGUCCGGUCCUCGAGCGUAUGGGGCUUCGUCACCCGCUCUUGUAGGCCCGGCCGGCGCCAGCCGACCCCCAACCUUUAACUAUCUCAGGUUGACCUCGGAUCAGGUAGGGAUACCCGCUGA
rnacentral:misc_RNA from 1 species